rnacentral:rRNA from 1 species
CCGGCGACCGGCGCACGGGUGAGUAACACGUAUGGAACCUGCCCGCAGCAGGGGGAUAAGCGGAAGAAAUUCCGUCUAAUACCGCGUAACAACGUUGGGAGGCACCUCCCGAUGUUUAAAGAUUUAUCGGCUGCGGAUGGCCAUGCGGCGCAUUAGCUAGUCGGCGGGGUAACGGCCCACCGAGGCGACGAUGCGUAGGGGUUCUGAGAGGAAGGUCCCCCACACUGGUACUGAGACACGGACCAGACUCCUACGGAAGGCAGCAG